CGUAUCUCUGGAGCGCUUCUGC
rnacentral:miRNA from 1 species